rnacentral:snRNA from 1 species
AUGCUUGCUUCAGCAGCACAUAUACUAAAAUUGGAACGAUACAGAGAAGAUUAGCAUGGCCCCUGCACAAGGAUGACACACAAAUUCGUGAAACAUUCCAUAUUUUU